CAAUCCAUUUAUUUUUAACACAUCCCCAACCCAAUUCCUCGUUUCCUCUCUCCCAACGCAAUAUCUUCUCAAUCUUUGUGACGCGGAUAAGGGAAACAUUCAGAAGAGAUUGUUGAUGCGGCGUGAGGAACGGCCUAACAAGCCUGUCUUCUUUUGGGUACAGGAGUUUUUGCAGGAUUAGCUUCUUGUGUUGGUUGUGUCACUUGUAUUGGCUGAUCUCUUCAGUGAUUUCUUCUUCACGACGUUCUUUCCGAAAGCUUUAACACUUUUACCAUCUCUUCCCGAGUUACCAUCCCUAGAAUUCGUGACUUGCCGCACCCUACAAUCACAACAUUUUAGCCUGUAGCUUAAAAUGACAAGACUCUCUGAAAGUCCCGACCUCUACCCUUUUUAAACAAGGCUGAUUGCUUUCAAACUGAGGGGAACAUCACAUCUUCAAGUUCCAUUGCAUUUUUCUUCAUCAAGAAUAACUUUUGCAUCUCAAUAUCUUUAUUUAUUCUAGCAUUGUAAUCAUCACCUCUUCUCUUGAAACUACAGUUCACGAAUUCUAACUAUUACAUAUUCCAUCAUCAACCGCAACACAUGACCCGUCCUCAUUUUGAAAAGCUCUAGACCAGCUCUUUGGCUUCCUUUCCAUCCAGCUGUUUUAUAGCUUCCGUUCUGAAAACUAGCCUCUAAAUUGCUGAAUGCAGCUUGGCAAAACAACCUUCUAUAUUGGACUC